GAUGAACGCUGGCGGCGUGCCUAAUACAUGCCAGUCGAGCGAACAGACGAGGAGCUUGCUCCUCUGACGUUAGCGGCGGACGGGUGAGUAACACGUGGAUAACCUACCUAUAAGACUGGGAUAACUUCGGGAAACCGGAGCUAAUACCGGAUAAUAUAUUGAACCGCAUGGUUCAAUAGUGAAAGACGGUUUUGCUGUCACUUAUAGAUGGAUCCGCGCCGCAUUAGCUAGUUGGUAAGGUAACGGCUUACCAAGGCAACGAUGCGUAGCCGACCUGAGAGGGUGAUCGGCCACACUGGAACUGAGACACGGUCCAGACUCCUACGGGAGGCAGCAGUAGGGAAUCUUCCGCAAUGGGCGAAAGCCUGACGGAGCACCGCCGCGUGAGUGAUGAAGGUCUUCGGAUCGUAAAACUCUGUUAUUAGGGAAGAACAAAUGUGUAAGUAACUAUGCACGUCUUGACGGUACCUAAUCAGAAAGCCACGGCUAACUACGUG
rnacentral:rRNA from 1 species